AUCUGAUACUGGCCAGCUUGAGUCUCGUAGAGGGGGGUAGAAUUCCAGGUGUAGCGGUGAAAUGCGUAGAGAUCUGGAGGAAUACCGGUGGCGAAGGCGGCCCCCUGGACGAAGACUGACGCUCAGGUGCGAAAGCGGGGGGAGCAAACAGGAUUAGAUACCCUGGUAGUCCACGCCGUAAACGAUGUCGACUUGGAGGUUGUGCCCUUGAGGCGUGGCUUUCCGGAGCUAACGCGUUAAGUCGACCGCCUGGGGAGUACGGCCCGCAAGUUAAAAACUCAAAAUGAAAUUGACGGGGGCCCCGCACAAGCGUUGAAGCAUGUUGGUUUUAAUUCGAUGCAACGCGAAAGAACCCUAACCUGGUCCUUGACAUCCACGGAAGUUUUCAGAAAAUGAAAAAUGUGCCUUCGGGAAACCGUGAAGAAAGGGGCUGCAUGGCUGUCGUCAGCUCCGGGUUGGGAAAUUGUUGGGUUAAGUCCCGCAACGAGCGGCAACCCUUUAUUCUUUUGUUGGCCAGGCGGUCGGGCCCGGAAACUCAAAAGGAGGACUGCCAGGUGAUAACUGGAGGAAAGGUGGGGAUAAGGCAAGGCCUCAUGGCCCUUUACAACCAGGGCUACCCACGUGCUACAAUGCGCAUACAAAGAGAACCGACCCUCCCGAGACCAAGCGGACCUUAAAAAGUGCGUCGGAAGUCCGGAUUGAAGGCUGCAACUCCGAUUCUUAAGUCGGAAUCGCUAGUAAUCGUGGAUCCAAAAUGCCACGGUGAAUACUUCCCGGGCCUUGUAAACACCGCCCGUCAAACAUGGGAGUGGGUUGCAAAAGAAGUAAGUAGC
rnacentral:rRNA from 1 species